UACGAAGGGGGGCUAGCGUUGCUCGGAAUUACUGGGCGUAAAGGGCUCGUAGGCGGCCAACUAAGUCGGAUGUGAAAUCCCCAGGCUCAACUUGGGAACUGCAUCCGAUACUGGAUGGCUUGAAUUCGGGAGAGGGAUGCAGAAUUCCAGGUGUAGCGGUGAAAUGCGUAGAUAUCUGGAGGAAUACCGGUGGCGAAGGCGGCAUCCUGGACCGGCAUUGACGCUGAGGAGCGAAAGCCAGGGGAGCAAACAGG
rnacentral:rRNA from 1 species